rnacentral:lncRNA from 1 species
GCUUGGCCAUAUCAUGGUGUGUUAUUGGAUGGAUGAGUUCUGGGGAACUCUUUAUUGGUAUGUAGUGGAGAUGGGUAGGAAUCAUUUUAUAAAACUUGAACUGAUUUCUAAAAAAGUUGCAUCGACAUUCCCAUGCACCUUGCUAUACAUGAUAUUAUGUUGAAAUAUAGGUGUUGUUGUAUAUAUGAAAUGUAUUGUAAC